GGGAAAUACUGGAAGGACCUGGAUGUUAUCAUAUUUCCUCGGUCGAAAGCCAUGUGUGACUAGCUGCUUCUAACAAUCAGCAGGGCGUGGCCAGCUCUGCCAAGGUGGCAAUGGAUGCCAAUCUCAGAAUGUCCUCCGACAGAUUGCCUUCAUGCUGAGCAAGUGAAUGAGAUGUCCGCAAAGUGAUAAGAGUAAAGUGCGGAGCGGACCAGAUUAACGAUAUCCUUAGUGGAGCAGGACAACCAGAACUGGACACAGUACUCCAGAAGAGGCCUGAACAACAUCGUGUACAAGCACAACAUGAUGUCAGAACUCCUGUACACAAUGUCUGAGCAAUGAUGGCAAGCGUGCUCAAUGCAUUCCUUGCCACCCUGUCGACCUGUGACUCUGUCUGCAAUGAAUUAUGUGUCUGAACCCAUCAGUCUCUGUUCCACAAAACUACCCAUUUUACACAUAUCUAUCAUUUCCGCCUUCCUCAACAACCUUCUCUGUUGUAAAGAAAACAACCUAAACUCUCUCCAUCACUUAAAGAAAAAAGAUUCGUUUCUGUCAGUCUUCCCAAUUGGAUAAAUACCAGUGCGAACAAUGACUAAUACAUGAUAUUGUAGAAUUGGUAGCUCACAGAUUCACACUCUCACUAUUCAGUCGACUUCGCCCAAUCUCUGCAUCAUCGAAGUUUCUUGUGCAUCUGUCUUCACUCACAUCCUCAGCUCAAUUUCCCAUCACCUCGCUUGGAAGGAAGUAUUUUCAGACUGUUACCCAAGCAAGUCUCAAUUCUCCUUGCGACAACGAUUCACAAUCUUCUCCCCCUUUGAGAGAAGCCGUUUGUUCUCACUUCUGCUUUUGAUCUGCUGCACCACUUUCUCCUGAAGCAAUGACUCUCUUGUUCUCGAUUGUCCCACAUGAAGAGACUUCUUCUCUCCAUCUAUUUUGUCAAUUCUCCCCUUGAGCAUCUU